UAAAAGCUUGGUCCUGACUUUAGCGUCAGUUGUAGCCCAAUUUACACAUGCAAGUUUCCGCAGCCCUGUGAGAAUGCCCUCUACCCCCGAAAGGGAAAGAGGAGCGGGCAUCAGGCACACACAAGUAGCCCAAAACGCCUUGCUUAGCCACCCCCCCAAGGGAAAUCAGCAGUGAUAGACAUUAAGCCAUAAGCGAAAGCUUGACUUAGUUAGGGCUAAGAGGGCCGGUAAAACUCGUGCCAGCCGCCGCGGUUAUACGAGGGGCCCGAAUAGACGCUCCAUCGGCGUAAAGUGUGACUAGAGAGGCAUACAAACUAGGGCUAAAGGUUCCUUAUGCUGUCAUACGCUAAUGGGACGCACGAAAUCCAACUACGAAAGUGGCUCUAAAACACUUGAACUCACGACAGCUAGACUACAAACUGGGAUUAGAUACCCCACUAUGCCUGACUUUAAACUAUGGUAAGAGACUUACAAACUCCGCCCGCCAGGGGACUACGAGCAUUAGCUUAAAACCCAAAGGACUUGGCGGUGCCUCACACCCCACUAGAGGAGCCUGUUCUAGAACCGAUAAUCCUCGUUAAACCUCACCCCUCCUUGCCAAUCCCGCCUAUAUACCGCCGUCGCCAGUUUACAUUAUGAAAUAACAGAAGUAAGCGAGAGGGGCACCACCCAAAACGUCAGGUCGAGGUGUAGCGAAUGGAGGGGGAAGAAAUGGGCUACAUUUUCUGGCACAGAACACAACGGACAAUGCAAUGAAACAUGCACAAUUGAAGGUGGAUUUAGCAGUAAAAAAGAAGAAGAGAGUCUUUUUGAAGCCGGCUCUGAGGCGCGUACACACCGCCCGUCACUCUCCUCGAAAAAACAGCCUACAUAAAUAAUAACUUAAACAAAUAAAGAGGAGGCAAGUCGUAACAUGGUAAGUGUACCGGAAGGUGCACUUGGAAAAAU
rnacentral:ncRNA from 1 species